AACGAACGCUGGCGGCAGGCUUAACACAUGCAAGUCGCACGAGAACGUCUCGCUUCGGUGAGGCUAGUAAAGUGGCGCACGGGUGAGUAACGCGUGGGUAAUCUACCCUCGGGCACGGGAUAACGUCUCGAAAGGGGCGCUAAUACCGUAUAAGACCACGGUGACUACGGUUGCUGCGGUAAAAGGGGGCCUCUACAUGUAAGCUCUCACCUGAGGACGAGCCCGCGUCCCAUUAGCUUGUUGGUGAGGUAACGGCUCACCAAGGCUUCGAUGGGUAGCUGGUCUGAGAGGAUGAUCAGCCACACUGGGACUGGAACACGGCCCAG
rnacentral:rRNA from 1 species